UGAAAAUAAGAAAUUUGCACUGAUCCUGAAGAAACUAGAGGGAGAUCCACAAUGCCAGAGACAGACCCUGAAGUCUUUUCUGAUUCUUCCCUUCCAGAGGAUCACCAGGAUGACGCUCUUACUUGAGAACAUCCUCAAACGAGCUGAACGUGUUGGUUCUAAUGUCCCUUAUCUGAUGGAAGCCAUUGGAGCUGUACGUAAGAUAGUGGAAGAAUGUGACAGGAAUGUCGAACUAAUGAAGAGGACCGAGUUGCUUGUUUGUUUGGACAAGUUAAUGGACUUUGGAAGUGUUAAGUCCGUUCCAUUAAUCAGCAGAGGGCGUCAUUUGAUUCAAGAGGGAACUUUCAAGCAUCUAAUGAUUGGCGGCAGUCACAGAGGCUCUACAGCAG